rnacentral:rRNA from 1 species
GACGAACGCUGGCGGCGUGCUUAACACAUGCAAGUCGAACGAAGAGCGAUGGAAGCUUGCUUCUAUCAAUCUUAGUGGCGAACGGGUGAGUAACGCGUAAUCAACCUGCCCUUCAGAGGGGGACAACAGUUGGAAACGACUGCUAAUACCGCAUACGAUCUAAUCUCGGCAUCGAGGAUAGAUGAAAGGUGGCCUCUACAUGUAAGCUAUCACUGAAGGAGGGGAUUGCGUCUGAUUAGCUAGUUGGAGGGGUAACGGCCCACCAAGGCGAUGAUCAGUAGCCGGUCUGAGAGGAUGAACGGCCACAUUGGGACUGAGACACGGCCCAGACUCCUACGGGAGGCAGCAGUGGGGAAUCUUCCGCAAUGGACGAAAGUCUGACGGAGCAACGCCGCGUGAGUGAUGACGGCCUUCGGGUUGUAAAGCUCUGUUAAUCGGGACGAAAGGCCUUCUUGCGAAUAGUUGGAAGGAUUGACGUACCGGAAUAGAAGCCAC